rnacentral:rRNA from 1 species
CGGGCUUAAAUUGCAGAUGAAUUACGGUGAAAGCCGUAAGCCGCAAGGCAUCUGUGA